rnacentral:ncRNA from 1 species
GGCUCCGGUGGCGCGGGCCGCUCCAAGAACCCAUAACUGGAAGGGAAAAACCAACCAACCAAACCGAACCGCCCGGGUUCGCACGCCUGUGUCACCCGGUGGGGUGAUCCGGUGGCUCUGGGCUGGCUUUCCGGAGGUGCAGCGGUGCAGGCUCGGCCACGAGCAACCCCGAACAAGCAAUUGGCCCCCGGCGGGACUGGCAUCCCGGUCGAGGGCCUGACCACCUAGGAAGCGAACACCUUCCCG